GUGGGGAAUAUUGGACAAUGGGCGAAAGCCUGAUCCAGCAAUGCCGCGUGAGUGAUGAAGGCCUUCGGGUUGUAAAGCUCUGUCGGGAGGGAAGAACAAGCCGGUUAACACCCGGCCCUGACGGUACCUCCAAAGGAAGCACCGGCUAACUCUGUGCCAGCAGCCGCGGUAAUACAGAGGGUGCAAGCGUUGUUCGGAAUUACUGGGCGUAAAGCGCGUGUAGGUUGUCGAGUAAGUCGGAUGUGAAAUCCCUCAGCUCAACUGAGGACGUGCAUUCGAUACUGUUCGACUUGAGUACUGGAGGGGGUGGCGGAAUUCCCGGUGUAGAGGUGAAAUUCGUAGAUAUCGGGAGGAACACCUGUGGCGAAGGCGGCCACCUGGACAGUCACUGACACUGAGACGCGAAAGCGUGGGUAGCAAACAGGAUUAGAAACCCCGGUAGUCC
rnacentral:rRNA from 1 species